AUUCUAGUAGCUUAAAAC
rnacentral:tRNA from 1 species